rnacentral:rRNA from 1 species
UUAGUAGCGGCGAGCGAAGCGGCAACAGCUCAAAUUUGAAAUCUGGCUACUUUGUAGUCCGAGUUGUAAUUUGCAGAGGAUGCUUUUGGUGAGGUGCCUUCCGAGUUCCCUGGAACGGGACGCCAGAGAGGGUGAGAGCCCCGUACGGUUGGACACCAAACCUUUGUAUAGCUCCUUCAACGAGUCGAGUAGUUUGGGAAUGCUGCUCUAAAUGGGAGGUAUAUCUCUUCUAAAGCUAAAUACCGGCUAGAGACCGAUAGCGCACAAGUAGAGUGAUCGAAAGAUGAAAAGCACUUUGAAAAGAGAGUUAAACAGCACGUGAAAUUGUUGAAAGGGAAGCGCCUAUGACCAGACUUGUUUCUGUCAGUUUUGCUUGUUUUCGGACUUGUUUACUCUGUCAGUACAGGCCAACAUCAGUUUGUUGUUUGGGAGAAAGGCUUAGGGAAUGUGGCUCCCUCGGGAGUGUUAUAGCCCUUUGCAUAAUACCAUUCGGCAGACUGAGGACCGCGCUUCGGCAAGGAUGUUGGCGUAAUGGUCAUCAGCGACCCGUCUUGAAACACGGACCAAGGAGUCAACCUUAUGUGCGAGUGUUUGGGUGUAAAACCCCAGCGCGUAAUGAACGUGAACGUAGGUGAGAGCUUCGGCGCAUCAUCGACCGAUUCUGAUGUUCUCGGAUGGAUUUGAGUAAGAGCAUAUAGGGUUGGACCCGAAAGAAGGUGAACUAUGCUUGUAUAGGGUGAAGCCAGAGGAAACUCUGGUGGAGGCUCGCAGCGGUUCUGACGUGCAAAUCGAUCGUCAAAUAUGAGCAUGGGGGCGAAAGACUAAUCGAACCUUCUAGUAGCUG